rnacentral:rRNA from 1 species
GACGAACGCUGGCGGCGUGCUUAACACAUGCAAGUCGAACGGAAAGGCCCUGCUUUUGUGGGGUGCUCGAGUGGCGAACGGGUGAGUAACACGUGAGUAACCUGCCCUUGACUUUGGGAUAACUUCAGGAAACUGGGGCUAAUACCGGAUAGGAGCUCCUGCUGCAUGGUGGGGGUUGGAAAGUUUCGGCGGUUGGGGAUGGACUCGCGGCUUAUCAGCUUGUUGGUGGGGUAGUGGCUUACCAAGGCUUUGACGGGUAGCCGGCCGGAGAGGGUGACCGGCCACAUUGGGACUGAGAUACGGCCCAGACUCCUACGGGAGGCAGCAGUGGGGAAUAUUACACAAUGGGCGGAAGCCUGAUGCAGCAACGCCGCGUGCGGGAUGACGGCCUUCGGGUUGUAAACCGCUUUCGCCUGUGACGAAGCGUGAGUGACGGUAAUGGGUAAAGAAGCACCGGCUAACUACGUG